GGCCUCCUGGUGCUUACCACAGUCUGUGUUCUUUUACAGUGAAGUUAUAGAAAGAGGAGGCACACUACAUGUACCCCCUUGUACACCCCAGCCCAGGCCCUUUUUGUCUGGUUUGUAUUGUAAAUGGGGGAGAUAUGU